AAACACGUGAAGCUUCGGGAAGAAGCCAAACAUAAAUUCAAAUUAUACAACCCGUACUCAGCUCCUUUGCUUCUCUACUAGAUUUUCAAAAGUGAAAAAACCCUAUCUUUACAAAUUCAAAAUCGAUAAAUUACCUAACCCAAUCGCUGCACGAGAUAUCAGAUCGAUCGGACCGGUUUUCACCGGUGAAGCUCUGAAGAAGACGAAGAAAAAUACAGAGAUCUGAAGAUUCAUCCUUCGCAAGCUUUAUUACGUUUUAUUGUGAGUUCAAAUUUUAGGAAGCCAUGAUGAUACCGAGAUAAUGUUCAUCAGCUUUUCGUACAAAUUGAACGUGGACAUGGAGAUAUCGAGAUAGUGUUACAGAUGGAUUCGAUGAUAAACACAAAGCUAUUCGGGAAUUGGGUCUGACAGGGGAAAACGAAAUCGUUUAGAAGGAAUCCUAUUGAGUCGAAUUGCAUUUCUAACAUCUGAUUACCAUCAACACCAAUCGAUUUUGCCGCCGAUUUAUGGAAGAAGCUAAUUGCGAUCAUCUUAAACUUGAUGGUUUCACCUCCUUCCAAUCUGAUUGUGGAGGCAAUGUUCGAAGAAGAAGAAAGAUCGAUGGGUCCAACAAAAAGAAUCAUGGUUACUGUAUUGCAGUCGGGCUUUGUACAGAAACUGUUCGAUUAUUUGUCCAAAUGAAAGGAAUUGAUAACAUAUCAUUAUUCUAGUGGAAUGGACUUGGGAAAGAAAAUGAAUCAUGGUACUCAAAACUGUGGAUCUCAAGACUUAGAAAAUCAGCUUAGUAGUUCAAAUGUCUGGUACACAGAUGAGGGCCAAAGCCAGCAACCAUUUCUUCAGUUCAGUCUCCUCUUGCUGCAGAAACACAGGUUCCUGAUUUCCGCGAUGAAGAAAUUAUUAUCUGUAAAGACGGAUAAGCAUACUG